UACGUAGGGUCCAAGCGUUGUCCGGAAUUACUGGGCGUAAAGAGCUCGUAGGUGGUUUGUCGCGUUGUCCGUGAAAACUCACAGCUUAACUGUGGGCGUGCGGGCGAUACGGGCAGACUAGAGUACUGCAGGGGAGACUGGAAUUCCUGGUGUAGCGGUGGAAUGCGCAGAUAUCAGGAGGAACACCGGUGGCGAAGGCGGGUCUCUGGGCAGUAACUGACGCUGAGGAGCGAAAGCGUGGGGAGCGAACAGG
rnacentral:rRNA from 1 species